UUAUUAGGUUGUCCUUGUCAUUACAACAAGUACUAAUACAUUCUUAUAACAUUGUUAAUAUUGAUAGUUAGUAGUGUUAUAAAUAACGCCUACUAAUAAAGGUGCACAGGUGUUGGUAAUGGAUAGAGAAGAAGAGUUUCUUAAGAAACUACAAAUUCAAUAAUGAUCCUUCCGCAGGUUCACCUACGGAAA
rnacentral:misc_RNA from 1 species